UGCAUCAGCCGUGAAUCGAACACGGGGCCCAUCGAUGGCAACGAUGGAUUUUACCACUAAACCACUGAUGC
rnacentral:tRNA from 1 species